GUGCUCACUUUGGCAGCACAUAUACUAAAAUUGAAAUGACACAGAGAAGGUUAGCAUGGCCCCUGUGCAAGGAUGACAUGCAAAUUCAUGAAGCAUCCAUAUUUUU
rnacentral:snRNA from 1 species